rnacentral:rRNA from 1 species
UACGUAGGGUGCAAGCGUUAGUCGGAAUUACUGGGCGUAAAGCGUGCGCAGGCGGUUCUAUAAGACAGAUGUGAAAUCCCCGGGCUCAACCUGGGCACUGCAUUUGUGACUGUAGAGCUGGAGUACGGUAGAGGGGGAUGGAAUUCCGCGUGUAGCAGUGAAAUGCGUAGAUAUGCGGAGGAACACCGAUGGCGAAGGCAAUCCCCUGGACCUGUACUGACGCUCAUGCACGAAAGCGUGGGGAGCAAACAGG